CAGCGCCACGAGUGGGGACUGUAAUUAUUGGGCCUAAAGCGUCCGUAGCCGGUCUAGUAAAUUUCUUGUGAAAUUGUUGGGCUCAACCUAACAAAUUGCAGGAAAGACUGCUAGACUUGGGACUGGGAGGGGUUAGAAGUAUAUUUAGGGUAGCGGUAAAAUGUUAUAAUCCUAAAUGGACUACCUAUGGCGAAAGCAUCUAACCAGAACAGGUCCGACGGUGAGGGACGAAAGCUAGGGGAGCAAAACGGAUUAGAUACCCGAGUAGUCC
rnacentral:rRNA from 1 species